rnacentral:rRNA from 1 species
UACGUAGGGCGCAAGCGUUAUCCGGAAUUAUUGGGCGUAAAGAGCUCGUAGGCGGUUUGUCGCGUCUGCCGUGAAAGUCCGGGGCUCAACUCCGGAUCUGCGGUGGGUACGGGCAGACUAGAGUGAUGUAGGGGGAGACUGGAAUUCCUGGUGUAGCGGUGAAAUGCGCAGAUAUCAGGAGGAACACCGAUGGCGAAGGCAGGUCUCUGGGCCGAUACUGACGCUGAGGAGCGAAAGCAUGGGUAGCGAACAGG